GAAUAUUGCACAAUGGGCGCAAGCCUGAUGCAGCGACGCCGCGUGGGGGAUGACGGCCUUCGGGUUGUAAACCUCUUUCAGUAUCGGCGAAGCUUGCGGGUUUUCUCGCAGGUGACGGUAGGUACAGAAGAAGCACCGGCCAACUACGUGCCAGCAGCCGCGGUAAUACGUAGGGUGCGAGCGUUGUCCGGAAUUACUGGGCGUAAAGAGCUCGUAGGUGGUUUGUCGCGUUGUCCGUGAAAACUCACAGCUCAACUGUGGGCGUGCGGGCGAUACGGGCAGACUGGAGUACUGUAGGGGAGACUGGAAUUCCUGGUGUAGCGGUGGAAUGCGCAGAUAUCAGGAGGAACACCGGUGGCGAAGGCGGGUCUCUGGGCAGUAACUGACGCUGAGGAGCGAAAGCGUGGGGAGCGAACAG
rnacentral:rRNA from 1 species